rnacentral:lncRNA from 1 species
UGACAUCCUGGGCUAGAAAAGGCCAUGUCAGGGCCCCCAGACGGGAUCUGAGCCUCAGCACUUUCCCCCCCCCAGCAGAGGCCGUGUCAGUGACUCCUGAGUGCUGGAUCUUGCGUGUAACCCAACUUCUCAGCCCACACUGAGGAACUUGUGUCCCUGUUUACAAUUUACACCCUGGUGUAGCUGAGGACAGAGGAUUAGACCCCUCUGGACCUCACAGCACCUGCAGGAAAACAUUUCCAGGAGGAGCAGAACCUGGGUCCAGCGUGGCCGUGAAAGGCUCCUCAAGGUGCUGGUGGUCUCCAGACGUGGAGCUGCAUCUCCUCAGGGUCAGCAUGGGAGGCUGGGGCUGGUGCUGGGGUUUUUGGGCUGGUAAAUCAGAGCAGGCCCUGCUUGCUGGUGGUGUAGGUGGGUUGGGAAGUGGGACUGUGCUCUCAUGGGAGAAGCCUGAGGGCAAGGAGCUGGUGGUGGGACCUCACUUUCUGCUUUUGGUCCCAAAAAUGGAUCUGGAAAAGGACUGGAAGACAUGAAACCUCAUAUGUGGAGUUCAACCCCAAACCUACAAGAAAGGAUCACUGAUGGGGUCAUCCCCUUGGAGAGGGAUCCAGCCUUGGAUGGGGCUGGGACUGGCCUCCUGGGAAAGGGCCAAACACGGUUUUGGUGAGGAGGGAGAGCCCAGACAGAGCAGUCUCAGGGGAACAAACAGUGGGGGCCUCCUGGGAGUUCCCAGGACUCUGUUUUGGGCUGCAGGAUGAGGUCACUGUCAGUGGCUGGCAUGGGGGCUCAGGCCAGGAUCGUUUACAGAGGUGUGAACCAUUAACAAAUUAAUCAUCAGGGCCAGCAUAGCUGGAAGUUAUUUGCCUCCCUGGGCCCUAUAAAAGGAUGUGGAGGGCAUUUCUUGGGUUUGGGCCGCUGAGGAGGGAGUGUUCUGCCUUGUGGCUGUGUCUUGGACCUACUCCUGAGAUCCUGCUGCUCCCUGGGAUGCACCAAGAGAAGAGGCUCUGCUUUAAGCUGUGGGAGGAAUGUUUUCUGCUGAAUCCUGCUGUGGAAAUGUCUGAUGGCCACUCCUGGGAUGAGCAGCUGCGUCUGGCCUCUAAUCUUCAUCCUUGGCUGUGGAGAGGGCGAGGUCCCCGUGCUAAAGUUUCCUAG